AAUUUGAAUUGGAUUCAUUUGGUGUGCCUGAGUGCUCUUUCUCUCUCUCUCUCUUUCUCUCUCUCUCUCUCUCUCUCUCUCUCCUACGACUCUCUCUCUUCGAUUCCAGGCUAGUUUUACGCCGGAUCGACAAACCGAAACCACCACGACGCUCCUGGCGAAGUUCUCUACAAGUCUGCCGGAACGGAUCGUCAGGAAAACGAAGUUGGAUUUCAUCCCAAAUCUAAGUUCUAGGGUAUUGAUUGGGAACGUUGGGAAUCAUCCCUAAGUUGAGGGUAUUGAGUUGAGAACCUUGUGGGUACGGGAAAGAUUUUCUUAGGGGCUUUUCAGGAAUCAGGAGCCCCUGAUAGGAGAGCGGGAAAAGCCCCGCUGAUCUAGAUCAGUUGUUUGCCCUCUUUGGAAGGGUAAGUUUUUGGUAGGGACAGUUAGGUUUUGUGGGGAUUGUCCCUAGAUUUCAUUUUUGAGAUGUAUAUACUGUGAGAUAGUAAUUGUAGUGACUCUGGUAUGUGUUAUGCACUUUAUGAUGAGAUGUAUAUGAUUUUAUACUUUCUGCUGCGUAGGCUUCUACUGUAUGUUUUGUUAUAUCCCUGGUGCCCAUGGGCCCAGGUGGAUUGUGACCUGCUGAGCUGGGAUAUAUGAUGUGAUGAUAAUUUAUUUAUAUAAAAAAAAAAAUAUGUGAAAAAGGAGCAGGUCGUUACAGUUCCUUUGCUAAAUCAA